rnacentral:sRNA from 1 species
GCUGAGUUGCUGGCUCCCUAUACCGGGGACGUCGCUGCGGAAGGCAUCGGGAAAACGCUGCGGGCGGGGGCCUCUUUUGUGCAGCACGGCUUCAAACGCCAGCAGCGUUAUGUCGCAGAGGUCGUUACCGAAGAGUGGCGUCUUGCACCCGGUGCGCUGGAAGUGGCCUGGCUUGCGGAAGAGACUGCUGCGGUUGAACGUGCGACCGACGCCUUAAUCAAACGAAUGGAUAAACUGGAGGGCAAAUGA